GAGACACACUACAACAGGAGAGGGAGCAAGCGCGAGAGGAUAUUAGAAGAGAGGCUUGUCUCCAAGAUAUGGAAGGAAGUGAGAAAUGACAGGGCUGCAAGCUUUGUAUGUAGGAGCCCGGCAGGGCGGGGGAGCGGCGAGGAGAGCCAAGUGGAUUCUCAGAAAAGGGGGGAAGCCAUCGAAGAGCUAAAGGUGAUUAGAGGGGGAUAUUGAUUUCUUAUUCUGCCAGAGAUUUAAGCAGGCAUGCGAGGAAUCUGCACCAUGGUUGGCAAAAAGAGACCCGUUGCCUCCUGUAACCAGACACUCAGGCUUUCCAGGAGCCCAGGGAGCAAGCCGAGAAGAAAGGGGGCAGUGUGGUCUAGGAAAAUUCAACUUGUCGCUGAUUUGUGCCUGAUGCCUGCUGUCCGUCAGCAGCCUCCCUUACAAUCUUUUUUUCUCUCUCUCCUUUUUUUUUCCUUGCCUUCUCCUUCUUCACUGAAGCCUAGGGGAGCCAGUAAAGAUUAAAUGUGCUUCUCAAAGGCAGCCACUUCAUGCUGCUAUGUCGAAAGGGCCAUUAUUAUUAUUAUAUUUUAAUGGUAAAAGAGAAAAGGAGAGAGGUUGAGCGAGCGAGAGAGAAGCUAGGUGUGAUGAUGACAGACUAGCUUUUCUGAGAGGAAAAGGAAAAGGGAAGGGAGAGAAAAAGGAGAGCCUCUGAGCUCAACGGAGGAUUGUGCCUGAGAAGAACCCACAGAGGAAAGCCCCACUUCCAGUCUGAUGAGGAAAGCGACAAUCUAUCAGGUACAGAACCAGGGGCUGUCUGCGAAGAUGGAGGGGAAUUAUGCUUCGGAUUCCUCUGAAAUAUUGGCCAAAGGCUUCAAAGAAUCCGCAGCGGGAGGUGCGGGGGGAAUGUCUCUCCCCAGCCCGCACCCAGCCCUUCCCACUUCGUGUCUACCAAAUGACAGCCUGGUGCUCGCUCUUGGUGAUUUGGCCUUGACUUCAGCCAAGCAGCUGAUGCAGACGAAGCCUCCGUUUGCAGGACUGGCAAAGUGCACGCUAAAGAAAGAAGGAAGAAAUUUUUCAAAAAGCAGCUCUGGGGAGGUUUCAUACUCCCCCCCCCCCCCCGCCUUUUUUUAAUUUUUAAGUGAAUAUUUUCCAAAUUUGAUCAGUUCCAGCCCCUCCCUCCACUCCCACCCAACUGCCCUUUUUUCUCUCGUCAAAGCAUAAGCUACAGAGUUACAGUCUCGAGAUUUGGUGUAUCGCUUCCUGCCCCCGCCUCCCCUCCCCGCCCCCGUUCUCCGUCCUCUAUUGAAACACCUCGCCCAGCCUAGCGCACUGAGAGCUCUCAUUUUCCCCCCUUGCUCGGGAUGGUGCCACAGGAGGCUGUGCGGGCCCCGCUCCGCUUCGAAUGGAUACAGUUAAGCUAAUGAUCUCGAGAGGAUAUCGUCCUGGAUAAGGGUGGAGCCUACGCCCAAAAACAAGAUUACCUGAAAGAGAAAAGAAAGGGGGAAAACACACAGAGAUACAGUCGGGGAGGCCACAUGAAGAUGGAGGCAGAGACAGGAGUGAUGAGCCUGCAAGCCAAGGAAUGCCAAGGGCUGCCAGCAGCCAUGAGAAGCUGAGAGACACAGAGAACGAGUCCUCUGCCAGAGCCUCCAGAAGGAACUAACCCUGUCAAUACCUUGAUUUCGGACUUCUGGACUCCAGAACUAUAACCCUCCUUCCUCCACCUCACAAAAACUCACAAGCUGCAACCCUUCUGAUGUCCACUCCCACACAAACCAGCUUCAGGCCUUUUUCAAGCUUGCUUGGAGAAUACUUCUGAGACUUUCCAAGAGUGCAGGAAAUUCUACCCCCCAAGUAUGGCACCUUGGCAUGCUGAGUAUUUUAAGCUGAAGGAAACAGAGAAAACCACAGAAGCAGAAAGGUCUUUCUGACCUCUCUUGAAGACCCUCAUGUGACAGGUGUCCUGCCCUACAUCCAGAGAGAAGGAAUGUUCCACAGACAGACUAAGAAGAAUCUGAAGAAUCAGGCCUUACUAAGUGCCCUCCAGUGGAUGCUGUGGGGCACCACCUCCUUGAGGACCAAGGCACUCCAGCUGCCAGGAAUUUGGCUGCUAACCUCACACAGCUGAGCCUUCCAUGAAAAUUGCUCUCUGCCAAAGAGAACUUCCUAGUCCAAGGUCAUGUCUACUCUCCAGAGAUGUGACUGGAGUGAUUUGCACCCGGAUGCCUAGACUCGCCAUCUGCUCAAAGACUGCUCAGAAAGCCCUCCCAUGCAUUCCCCUGCUGCAUACCAGCCCACUCUGCCUGCAGCUGCUGUCUGCAGGACUUCAUAUCUAUGCCACACUGUGUAAAAGCUGUGCUUCAAGAAAUCACAAAAACAUUUUCCUGCACCUACUACACAGCCUGAGUGCGGCAUAAGUUGACCUUGCUUGCUAAGAAAUGGGGCAAGAAAUGCUUUUUUGUGUGUGUCAUGUCUGUUUGUUUUUCAAUUAAGAGAGGAAAGCAUUAGGCAGAUGGAAUGUACAUGUGAGGAUGAGGAGACAGAAAACAAGUAGCCCUUUCCAUCAAGAUAGAGGGUUUUCUGGGGUUGCUGGCUAUUGAAUGUCACUCCUGAUUUCUCUUUCCAAGGCACUGUACCACCAGCCUACUGAGAUUGUGUGGGAGCUUUCAUGGGGGUUGUAUUUCACUGAUGAAAAUAAAUUUUUUGCAUAAUGUG
rnacentral:lncRNA from 1 species